UACGGGGGGGAGCAAGCGUUGUUCGGAUUUACUGGGCGUAAAGGGCGCGUAGGCGGCCACUGCAAGUCAGUUGUGAAAUCUCCGGGCUUAACCCGGAAAGGUCAACUGAUACUGCAGGGCUAGAGUGCAGAAGGGGCAACUGGAAUUCCCGGUGUAGCGGUGGAAUGCGUAGAGAUCGGGAAGAACACCAGUGGCGAAGGCGGCUCACUGGUCCGGUACUGACGCUGAGGUGCGAAAGCGUGGGGAGCGAACAGG
rnacentral:rRNA from 1 species